rnacentral:rRNA from 1 species
ACUGACGGAGCGACGCCGCGUGGACGAUGAAGGCCGAAAGGUGUAAAGUCCUUUUCCUGGAGAAGAAUAAGGGAGAGAGGAAAUGCUCUUCUGAUGACGUUACCCAGGGAAUAAGCCCCGGCUAAUACGUGCCAGCAGCCGCGGUAACACGUAAGGGGCAAGCGUUGUUCGGAAUUAUUGGGCGUAAAGGGCGUGCAGGCGGUCGAGCAAGUCUGGUGUGAAAGGUUGGGGCUUAACCCCAAACGCGCGCUGGAAACUGCUCUGACUUUUUGAGUCCCGGAGAGGAAGCUAGAAUUCCAGGUGUAGGGGUGAAAUCUGUAGAUAUCUGGAAGAAUACCGAUGGCGAAGGCAAGCUUCUGGCCGAGGACUGACGCUGAGGCGCGAGAGCGUGGGGAGCAAACAGGAUUAGAUACCCUGGUAGUCCACGCCGUAAACGAUGUACACUAGGUGUUGGGGAGUUAUCCCUGGUGCCGGAGCUAACGUGUUAAGUGUACCGCCUGGGGAGUAUGCUCGCAAGGGUG